rnacentral:tRNA from 21 species
GGAAGUGGACGGAGCACUGGUGGCUCCCCCGGAUUUCAAAUCCGGUGUAACGGGUUAAUAGCUCGUUAGGUGGGUUCGAUUCCCAUGCACUUCC